GGGGUCUCGAUCGCGCUAUUGUCAUGGAGACGGGAAGCUGGCUGCAGCGGCGGCGGGGACCGUGGGGCCGAGGUGGCUGCCAGCCGGCCAAUGUCUAAGCGAGGCGGAGCGGCCCAGGCGGCCCGAGCCUGGGGGAGCGCGCAGCCGGCCAGUGGCGGCCUCGCCGGCGGCCUCUUCCCGGGCUCGCAGUAGGCCCGAGUCGUCGCCGGGAGCUCCUGGGAGCAGCGUCCCCGCCCUGCUCCCCUCGCUCCCGCCUCUUGCGGCCCCACGGCCCCUCAGCGCCCGCCCCCGGCUCCGCCCGCCGCAGCCGCAGCCCCUGGCGCUAACGGUCGGUAACGGCCCGCGCGCGCCGCCCGCCGGGGGCUCGCGCCAGCCACGAGGGAGCGUCCGCGGCCCGCGCGCCCGCGCGGCGGAGGAGAGGUGUUAAGUGUGAUGCUUCCAUAAUACAUUUGGAUGCUGUCAGCUAAGUUCACUUCUGAACUAAGGGGUUCCUCCAAAUGUUGGCUGAAAUUCAUCCCAAGGCUGGUCUGCAAUUACCUAUUUCUUUUAAGAAUAAAUUUAGUGGGAAUAUCAGUUCCAGUCAUGGGUACCAAACUUUUUUAGUGACAGAGUACACACAGAGUCUGCAAUUCAUAAUGGAGCUACUGUACUGGCUAUUGGAAGGAGGAGAUUCUGAAGAUAAGGAGGUAAAACCUGUUUAGAAAUUAAAAAUGAGUUACGAUUUAAAGAAAAUUCAGAUGACUCAUUGUGAGUGCUAGUUCUCUUGUAGGAUGCCACUGGAAAUGUUGAAAUGAAAAAUAUUCAGCCGUUGGUCUUUGAAAUUUCCUGUGAUGUGUUUCAAUCUAGAUGCAAAGAACAUGGAAAAAUCAAAGUGCUCGAGUGGUUUAAAUAUGUUUUGGGUAUUCCUGUUUAUAGACUAUAAUACUUUUCCAAUUAAAAUCCUCAGUUGUCACGCAGAAGAAGGUUAAGCUGUAUUUGAUUGCCAGUUUUACUGAAAAUGCUUAGUAUUUUACAGUAUCACCAAAUAUAUUUUGUUUAGCCAAGGUAUAGGAAAAAUAAAAUAAAUUGUAUAGGUUGACUUUUUUCUAAAAUGUCUUUAUUGGAUUGAAUGAAUGUUUAUACCUGAAAAAAAAAGGUUCAAAAA
rnacentral:lncRNA from 1 species